AUUGAACGCUGGCGGCAGGCCUAACACAUGCAAGUCGAGCGAGCGGCGGACGGGUGAGUAAUGUAUGGGGACUGCCCGAUAGAGGGGGAUAACUACUGGAAACGGUGGCUAAUACCGGAUACUGUCGGAUAACCCAUAUGGGAUUAGCUAGUAGGUAAGGUAAUGGCUUACCUAGGCGACGAUCACUAGCAGGUCUGAGAGGAUGAUCAGCCACACUGGGACUGAGACACGGCCCAGACUCCUACGGAGGCAGCAGUGGGGAAUAUUGCACAAUGGGCGAAAGCCUGAUGGAGCCAUGCCGCGUGAAUGAAGAAGGCCAUAGGGUUGUAAAGUACUUUCAGUCGGGAGGCGUUACCGACAGAAAAAGCACCGGCUAACUCCGUGCCAGCCGCCGCGGUAAUUC
rnacentral:rRNA from 1 species